AAGCCGAUCAACGACUACGCACACGUAAUCAGAUUACUGGGUCAUUUAACAGACCAGGCAGCUUGCUUGGAAAACGGCAGCACAUCGAAGACCCGUUCGAUGAAGAGGACCUGUUACAUGAAGAGAAUCUGGAAUCGCCGGAGCCCAAAAAAAGCCGCAGAAGUCCCUUGUUUUCUCAUCGCGCUCGUAGCCGUUUGUUAGGCCCUCCGAAAACCGACAUUGAGAUUUUAAGUUCGCCACAGAAAGGG